rnacentral:lncRNA from 1 species
AGAACAUUUUGGUUAGAAGUUCUUAGAGGUAAUAUAUGAGGAGGGCAAUGGGACUCACUACAUUUUUCUCAUGGAGGGAAAGACUUAAGAAAAUGAAUAGAACAUCAGCCAAUGUAAACAUACAAUAUUAAAUAUAUUAAGUAUAAAAAGAUUAUAUGAGGAAAUUGGAAUAUGAGGAAUAUGGUAUAUAGUGAUGUAUGAGGAAAUGUAG